rnacentral:RNase_P_RNA from 1 species
UGAGUUCGCCGGAUGAUCGCGGAUGCAAGUACCGAAAGGUCGUAUCCGAGGAAAGUCCGAGCUCCAUAGGGCAAAGUGCUGGGUAACACCCAGUGGAGGCGACUCCAAGGAUAGUGCCACAGAAACAUACCGCCGAUGACGGACCAUUCCGUACAGGUAAGGGUGGAAAGGUGAGGUAAGAGCUCACCAGCAAUCAGGUGACUGGUUGGCUAGGUAAACCCCACUUGGAGCAAGACCGAAUAGAGAAGCCAUGGAACUGCCCGUUCCGCUUCCGGGUUAGGUCGCUGGAGGUGUCGAGUAAUCGGCAUCCUAGAUAGAUGAUCAUCGCCCCGUUUUACGGGGUACAGAACUCGGCUUACAGGCUUACUCAUGUG